UCGCCAAAAAAAAUCCUACUCCAAGAACGAAAACCUCAAACGCAAACCCUUUUAUAUUUUCAAAAUGAAACUGCUAUUUCUCAAUAAUCGCAUCUCUUCAUUAACUUUAAAACUGACAUUUACCUACAAUUUCGAACUGACAUCCUUUCAUCUUGACAAGUGACAAUACUACACUACUAUCUACACUAGAUUCUAGGACCAUGCAAAUAUCCAUUGAAUGUUUGCAAGCUAUCAAGUCAAACAAUGUAUUAUAUAUUUAAAAUAAUUUUUUUAUUAGAAAACCAGCACUUUCUGAAAAUUACCAACCGUCAUCCGACGGUCUACAACGAAUGACACAUAUAUGACACACCAUCAGAUGACACACCUGAUGGUUGUCCUAAAAAAAUAACAUAUUAAAAUAAGGCCUUAAAAUAACUUAUUGAAAUAACAUGUAAUGGGCUUUAAAUGAGACAUUUUAAAAAAUAAACACUAAAACUGAUUAAGUAAGAUUUUAUUUUAUUGAAAUUAGGUCGGUUAUUCGGGUCGGUUAUUCGGGUCGGGUAUGGAUCAAACCCGAUCCGACGACCCAUCUAUCCGUUUCAACUAACCGGCUAUCAGUUUUGGAUUUUUUACCGGUUAACCGUCGAUUUUUAAAGCUUGAUUAAUAUCUCUACAAUCUUUUUUACUAUCGAACCAUCUUUAAUAGUUAAAAAUGUAAUUGGUUAAAGUACAUGAUAUAAGAGGCAAAUGUGAAAAUAAAAAUCAUAAACCCAAAUUUAUCAAAUAAAGAGAAAUGACAGGGUCUUUACCACAAUUUACAUAUAACUAUCUGUCUAUCUCGCCGUCGCGUGUGUCCCAACUUCCAACGAGAUACACACAGUCCGAUAAGUUCCAAACCCCAACGAAAGCAACCACCAAGCGAGAUGUGCGGUGCAGCUGUUACAUUGGCACGUGUACGUAUCCAUCCAGAAGUUCGUUGGUUACAUAGCUAGUUAGCUGGCUGGCACGGUUCCAUUCUCCAAGACAUCAAUCUUAUCACGCCAUCAUGUCCGAUUGGUCGGUUCUUUUGUAUUUUCUAUCCAGGUUCCAGAAAAAAAUGACAAAGAAGAAGAAUUAGGGUUUUUUUAGGUUUGAUAUAAAUGAAAUAGAUCUUGG
rnacentral:lncRNA from 1 species